rnacentral:rRNA from 1 species
AACGUACGCUGGCGGCACGCUUAACACAUGCAAGUCGAACGAAGUAGCAAUACUUAGUGGCAGACGGGUGAGUAACAUGUGGGUAUCUGCCUUUUGGCCUGGAAUAACACGAGGAAACUUGUGCUAAUACCGGAUAAGUCUUUACGGAGAAAGCUUUAUGCACCAUUGGAUGAGCCCGCACUUGAUUAGUUUGUUGGUGGGGUAAUGGCCUACCAAGACUGUGAUCAAUAGCUGAUUUGAGAGGAUGAUCAGCCACAUUGGGACUGAGACACGGCCCAAACUCCUACGGGAGGCAGCAGUGGGGAAUCUUGCACAAUGGAGGAAACUCUGAUGCAGCGAUGCCGCGUGAGUGAAGAAGGCCCUUGGGUUGUAAAGCUCUUUCGUCGGGGAAGAAAAUGACUGUACCCGAAUAAGAAGGUCCGGCUAACUUCGUGCCAGCAGCCGCGGUAAUACGAAGGGACCUAGCGUAGUUCGGAAUUACUGGGCUUAAAGAGUUCGUAGGUGGUUGAAAAAGUUAGUGGUGAAAUCCCAGAGCUUAACUCUGGAGCUGCCAUUAAAACUUUUCAGCUAGAGUAUGAUAGAGGAAAGCAGAAUUUCUAGUGUAGAGGUGAAAUUCGUAGAUAUUAGAAAGAAUACCAAUUGCGAAGGCAGCUUUCUGGAUCAUUACUGACACUGAGGAACGAAAGCAUGGGUAGCGAAGAGGAUUAGAUACCCUCGUAGUCCAUGCCGUAAACGAUGUGUGUUAGACGUUGGAAAUUUAUUUUCAGUGUCGCAGCGAAAGCGAUAAACACACCGCCUGGGGAGUACGACCGCAAGGUUAAAACUCAAAUGAAUUGACGGGGACCCGCACAAGUAGUGGAGCAUGUGGUUUAAUUCGAAGAUACGCGCAGAACCUUACCAACACUUGACAUGUUCGUCGCGACUCUAAGAGAUUAGAGUUUUCGGUUCGGCCGGACGAAACACAGGUGCUGCAUGGCUGUCGUCAGCUCGUGUCGUGAGAUGUUGGGUUAAGUCCCGCAACGAGCGCAACCCUCACUUUUAGUUGCCAUCAUUUAGUUGGGCACUCUGAAAGAACUGCCAGUGAUAAGCUGGAGGAAGGUGGGGAUGACGUCAAGUCCUCAUGGCCCUUACGUGUUGGGCUACACACGUGCUACAAUGGUAUCUACAACAGGAAGCAAGACUGCGAGGUCAAGCAAAUCCUUAAAAGAUACCUCAGUUCGGAUUGCACUCUGCAACUCGAGUGCAUGAAGCUGGAAUUACUAGUAAUCGUGGAUCAGCGUGCCACGGUGAAUGCGUUCCCGGGUCU